rnacentral:rRNA from 1 species
GGUUAAGCGACUAAGCGUACACGGUGGAUGCCCUGGCAGUCAGAGGCGAUGAAGGACGUGCUAAUCUGCGAUAAGCGUCGGUAAGGUGAUAUGAACCGUUAUAACCGGCGAUUUCCGAAUGGGGAAACCCAGUGUGAUUCGUCACACUAUCAUUAACUGAAUCCAUAGGUUAAUGAGGCGAACCGGGGGAACUGAAACAUCUAAGUACCCCGAGGAAAAGAAAUCAACCGAGAUUCCCCCAGUAGCGGCGAGCGAACGGGGAGCAGCCCAGAGCCUGAAUCAGUGUGUGUGUUAGUGGAAGCGUCUGGAAAGGCGUGCGAUACAGGGUGACAGCCCCGUACACAAAAAUGCACAUACUGUGAGCUCGAUGAGUAGGGCGGGACACGUGGUAUCCUGUCUGAAUAUGGGGGACCAUCCUCCAAGGCUAAAUACUCCUGACUGACCGAUAGUGAACCAGUACCGUGAGGGAAAGGCGAAAAGAACCCCGGCGAGGGGAGUGAAAAAGAACCUGAAACCGUGUACGUACAAGCAGUGGGAGCACGCUUAGGCGUGUGACUGCGUACCUUUUGUAUAAUGGGUCAGCGACUUAUAUUCUGUAGCAAGGUUAACCGAAUAGGGGAGCCGAAGGGAAACCGAGUCUUAACUGGGCGUUAAGUUGCAGGGUAUAGACCCGAAACCCGGUGAUCUAGCCAUGGGCAGGUUGAAGGUUGGGUAACACUAACUGGAGGACCGAACCGACUAAUGUUGAAAAAUUAGCGGAUGACUUGUGGCUGGGGGUGAAAGGCCAAUCAAACCGGGAGAUAGCUGGUUCUCCCCGAAAGCUAUUUAGGUAGCGCCUCGUGAAUUCAUCUCCGGGGGUAGAGCACUGUUUCGGCAAGGGGUCAUCCCGACUUACCAACCCGAUGCAAACUGCGAAUACCGGAGAAUGUUAUCACGGGAGACACACGGCGGGUGCUAACGUCCGUCGUGAAGAGGGAAACAACCCAGACCGCCAGCUAAGGUCCCAAAGUCAUGGUUAAGUGGGAAACGAUGUGGGAAGGCCCAGACAGCCAGGAUGUUGGCUUAGAAGCAGCCAUCAUUUAAAGAAAGCGUAAUAGCUCACUGGUCGAGUCGGCCUGCGCGGAAGAUGUAACGGGGCUAAACCAUGCACCGAAGCUGCGGCAGCGACGCUUAUGCGUUGUUGGGUAGGGGAGCGUUCUGUAAGCCUGUGAAGGUGUGCUGUGAGGUAUGCUGGAGGUAUCAGAAGUGCGAAUGCUGACAUAAGUAACGAUAAAGCGGGUGAAAAGCCCGCUCGCCGGAAGACCAAGGGUUCCUGUCCAACGUUAAUCGGGGCAGGGUGAGUCGACCCCUAAGGCGAGGCCGAAAGGCGUAGUCGAUGGGAAACAGGUUAAUAUUCCUGUACUUGGUGUUACUGCGAAGGGGGGACGGAGAAGGCUAUGUUGGCCGGGCGACGGUUGUCCCGGUUUAAGCGUGUAGGCUGGUUUUCCAGGCAAAUCCGGAAAAUCAAGGCCGAGGCGUGAUGACGAGGCACUACGGUGCUGAAGCAACAAAUGCCCUGCUUCCAGGAAAAGCCUCUAAGCAUCAGGUAACAUCAAAUCGUACCCCAAACCGACACAGGUGGUCAGGUAGAGAAUACCAAGGCGCUUGAGAGAACUCGGGUGAAGGAACUAGGCAAAAUGGUGCCGUAACUUCGGGAGAAGGCACGCUGAUACGUAGGUGAAGCGACUUGCUCGUGGAGCUGAAAUCAGUCGAAGAUACCAGCUGGCUGCAACUGUUUAUUAAAAACACAGCACUGUGCAAACACGAAAGUGGACGUAUACGGUGUGACGCCUGCCCGGUGCCGGAAGGUUAAUUGAUGGGGUUAGCGCAAGCGAAGCUCUUGAUCGAAGCCCCGGUAAACGGCGGCCGUAACUAUAACGGUCCUAAGGUAGCGAAAUUCCUUGUCGGGUAAGUUCCGACCUGCACGAAUGGCGUAAUGAUGGCCAGGCUGUCUCCACCCGAGACUCAGUGAAAUUGAACUCGCUGUGAAGAUGCAGUGUACCCGCGGCAAGACGGAAAGACCCCGUGAACCUUUACUAUAGCUUGACACUGAACAUUGAGCCUUGAUGUGUAGGAUAGGUGGGAGGCUUUGAAGUGUGGACGCCAGUCUGCAUGGAGCCGACCUUGAAAUACCACCCUUUAAUGUUUGAUGUUCUAACGUGGACCCGUGAUCCGGGUUGCGGACAGUGUCUGGUGGGUAGUUUGACUGGGGCGGUCUCCUCCUAAAGAGUAACGGAGGAGCACGAAGGUUGGCUAAUCCUGGUCGGACAUCAGGAGGUUAGUGCAAUGGCAUAAGCCAGCUUGACUGCGAGCGUGACGGCGCGAGCAGGUGCGAAAGCAGGUCAUAGUGAUCCGGUGGUUCUGAAUGGAAGGGCCAUCGCUCAACGGAUAAAAGGUACUCCGGGGAUAACAGGCUGAUACCGCCCAAGAGUUCAUAUCGACGGCGGUGUUUGGCACCUCGAUGUCGGCUCAUCACAUCCUGGGGCUGAAGUAGGUCCCAAGGGUAUGGCUGUUCGCCAUUUAAAGUGGUACGCGAGCUGGGUUUAGAACGUCGUGAGACAGUUCGGUCCCUAUCUGCCGUGGGCGCUGGAGAACUGAGGGGGCUGCUCCUAGUACGAGAGGACCGGAGUGGACGCAUCACUGGUGUUCGGGUUGUCAUGCCAAUGGCACUGCCCGGUAGCUAAAUGCGGAAGAGAUAAGUGCUGAAAGCAUCUAAGCACGAAACUUGCCCCGAGAUGAGUUCUCCCUGACCCUUUAAGGGUCCUGAAGGAACGUUGAAGACGACGACGUUGAUAGGCCGGGUGUGUAAGCGCAGCGAUGCGUUGAGCUAACCGGUACUAAUGAACCGUGAGGCUUAACCUU